rnacentral:rRNA from 1 species
UACGGAAGGCAGCAGGGGGGAAUAUUGCACAAUGGGCGCAAGCCUGAUGCAGCCAUGCCGCGUGUAUGAAGAAGGCCUUCGGGUUGUAAAGUACUUUCAGUCGUGAGGAAGGUGUUAAGGUUAAUAACCUUAGCAAUUGACGUUAGCGACAGAAGAAGCACCGGCUAACUCCGUGCCAGCAGCCGCGGUAAUACGGAGGGUGCGAGCGUUAAUCGGAAUUACUGGGCGUAAAGGGCACGCAGGCGGUUAAUUAAGUUGGAUGUGAAAUCCCCGGGCUUAACCUGGGAAUGGCAUUCAAGACUGGUUAGCUAGAGUCUUGUAGAGGGGGUAAAAUUCCAUGUGUAGCGGUGAAAUGCGUAGAGAUGUGGAGGAAUACCGGUGGCGAAGGCGGCCCCUGGACAAAGACUGACGCUCAUGUGCGAAAGCGUGGGGAGCAAACAGGGAUUAGAUACC